rnacentral:rRNA from 1 species
CCUACGGGAUGCUGCAGUGGGGAAUAUUGGACAAUGGGCGAAAGCCUGAUCCAGCCAUGCCGCGUGUGUGAAGAAGGCCUUCGGGUUGUAAAGCACUUUCAGUGGGGAAGAAAGCCUUGGGGCUAAUACCCUCGAGGAAGGACAUCACCCACAGAAGAAGCACCGGCUAACUCCGUGCCAGCAGCCGCGGUAAUACGGAGGGUGCGAGCGUUAAUCGGAAUUACUGGGCGGAAAGCGCGCGUAGGCGGUCUGAUAAGCCGGUUGUGAAAGCCCCGGGCUCAACCUGGGAACGGCAUCCGGAACUGUCAGGCUAGAGUGCAGGAGAGGAAGGUAGAAUUCCCGGUGUAGCGGUGAAAUGCGUAGAGAUCGGGAGGAAUACCAGUGGCGAAGGCGGCCUUCUGGACUGACACUGACGCUGAGGUGCGAAAGCGUGGGUAGCAAACAGGAUUAGAUACCCUAGUAGUC